GGCCAAGAACAUGACAGGUGCUAGGACUGGAAUCUUUGCAUCCACAAUUGAACAUACCCCAGUGCCUUCAUUCUUUAAAAGUACUUAGAAUCAUUUAUUUCAAUCAUGAAGACACCUGGAAACUACGGGAAACUCAUCUCACUUUGUUGUAGUACUGAUUGCUAUCAAAGGUUUGCAGUUUUUUACCUGAGUGUCCUGUUUAUUUGUGAAGAAGCUAAAUGACAGCCUGGUUCAUUUUUGAAUUUUGUACGAGGAGUAGAGUUCACAUGUAGUGCUAACUUAGAAUUCAAGAGAUAUUUUCUUCUUGGAUGUUUGUCUUAUUUUGACAAUAUUAAAGUUUUGUUAUGAACAGUG
rnacentral:lncRNA from 1 species